UGGACCUUCUUUUUAGGAAGUUGUUUGGUGAAUAGAUUUGAGAUUUGCUGAAAUUUUCUUUUGAUUAAAAUUGUAGCGUUACGUGAAUAUGUCCUUGUUUUUGGAAUUUCAUCCUCAUUAUAGAAUCUUAGGAUGGAAUUCUUCGAGAAAGCAAAAUCCAUCAGGCUAAAAAGCCACCACGGGAAAUUCUUACAUGCCAAUUCCAAUCAAGAAACAGUGCACCAACAUCGUCAUGGAACAUCUAAGACUGCAAAAUGGACAGUUGAAUUUCCUAAAGGAAUCAAUAAUAAUGUUGUACGUUUGAAUAGUUGUUAUGGCAAAUAUCUAAUGGCCACAGAUGAACAAUUUCUUCUUGGUGUAACGGGUCUUAAAGUUGUUCAAAGUUUGCCCAAAAAUUUGGAUUCCUCAAUUGAAUGAGAACCUGUUAAUGUUGGAUCUUUAGUGAAGCUCAAAACAAAAUAUGGGAAAUUUUUAAGGGCAAAUAGUGGAUUACCCCCUUUUAGAAAUUCAAUUACACAUGACAUACCUUAUAGACAUCAAGAUUGGAUCUUAUGGGAAAUAGAUAUUAUUGAGUUACUGCCCGGCGCAACAAUAAUAACAACUAUAUCUCAAUCCCAAUCAAGUAAAGAGUUACUGCCCGAACCACAGAAAAAAUUAUUAGAUGGUGAUUUGAGCUCAUCUUUUCGUCUUACGUUUUCCAGUCAAAAUUUGAUGCUGCUAUGACAAAGCCCGAAGGUCGGCUGAUCUAUUAUUAUGUGGCAGAUGAGAAGGGAACUGUGAAUGAUGAAGUGAAAGGACCUUCAUUUCAGUUCAAAGGGCAAGUGCUAGAGGAACUAACUCAAAAGUUAGAGGAAGAAACAGGGCUCAAGAAUAUUACAUUGUGUUUGCGCAACAAAAUAAAUGGGAAUUUAUGUCCUCUUAAGUUAGAAUUACCACCCAACAAUGCAACCAUGGAUGUUGUGGUAGUACCUUAGCUUCAUCUGCAUCUAAAGCAAAGAGAAUAGGUAGCAGAUAUUCCCGCGUCCAAAUGGUCGGUGGUCAACAUUCUAUUCAUGAAAUUUUGCCAUUACAAGCUAUCAUGCAUGUGAAUUCACGCUGAAACUGUAAAUAAUUUUUAAUUUAACCUUUAACUAGUUACUAACUGUUU